rnacentral:rRNA from 1 species
GACGAACGCUGGCGGCGUGCUUAACACAUGCAAGUCGAACGGAAAGGCUCCAGCUUGCUGGCGUACUCGAGUGGCGAACGGGUGAGUAACACGUGGGUAAUCUGCCCUGCACUCUGGGAUAAGCCUGGGAAACUGGGUCUAAUACUGGAUAUGACCUUUCUCCUUAUGGGGUUUGGUGGAAAGUUUUUCGGUGUAGGAUGCGCCCGCGGCCUAUCAGCUUGUUGGUGGGGUGAUGGCCUACCAAGGCGACGACGGGUAGCCGGCCUGAGAGGGUGAUCGGCCACAUUGGGACUGAGAUACGGCCCAGACUCCUACGGGAGGCAGCAGUGGGGAAUAUUGCACAAUGGGCGGAGGCCUGAUGCAGCGACGCCGCGUGAGGGAUGACGGCCUUCGGGUUGUAAACCUCUUUCAGCAGGGACGAAGCGUAAGUGACGGUACCUGCAGAAGAAGCACCGGCUAACUAUGUG